AAACAGCCGUUGUAAAAAAAAAAAAAAAGCAGCCGUUGAGCAAAAAGGGGGCGGUUGAGUUAACGUUUAUAACCGCCGUCAGAUCAACAGCCGUUACUACACACACUGACACACACACACACAGCCCGAAAGAAGAAAAAAAGGGAAGCAGUGGAUGUCUUGGAAAUAGAUUUCAACCCAGCCACACAUUGCCUGCACAGGAAGAGUAGGAGGACCUUUCGCACAAUCGCACUUUGGAGUCACGCAUCAAUAUUUUGUCAUCAGAUGUUUCCCCAGUGUAAACACCAAUUUUUUUUCUAGACUUGUCAUUACAGAGUUGCAGUUCAGCCUUAGGACAGGGUGGACGAGACGAAGCAAGUUGUAGGCAGCUCUCUGAAAACGCUUGCUCGGCAGGUAGAGAUUAGGUAGAGAUUUAAAGGGACGGGAUGGGAGACAUGGGACGGGGCAGAAAUGUCCUUAAAAUCUCUGUCCUGCCAACACACGACAUGCCUAGAUCUGAUCCUGUCCACAACUUUACUGAAACUAAUUGGCUAAUAAAAAUGUAGGCCUGUGGGAGUACAAAAUGUUUCACAAACAAAAGAUUGAUUGAGACCACUAGAAGAGCAAUAGUAGAUGGUAUUGAUGACGGAACAAAAGCAUGUUGACUUUGAUGAAAGGGCCCACAGCAGGGGUUUAUUGAAAGAAGCAGAUAAACUGUUACCACAUG